GGAGCAGGGACCAGAAGGAGAAAUCAAAAGGGAAGUUUCAGGACUCAGCCUGAAAAGUGCGAUUCUAUUCUAUUGAAUGUCUACUUCUACUGUACAGAACUACUCUCAUGACCUACUUAAGACUGCCGUGGCUGAGAAGUGGAGUCCAACUGUACACCAAGGAUACAGUGUCACCCCUGCCAUGGUGCAAUGCACAAUAAGCUCUAUACUUGGAGGUGGCGAAAUUCAACCGAUCAAACUGUACUAGUCUCAGGAGCUACAAAUUGCUCCCUCUGUGAUGGGAGGACUAUACCAUACUCCUGCAGCAUAGAGGAAAUCCUCUAGGCUUCCAUGGCUCCUAAGGAGAAC
ensembl:lncRNA